rnacentral:rRNA from 1 species
AGCGAACGCUGGCGGCAGGCCUAACACAUGCAAGUCGAACGGAUCCUUCGGGACUAGUGGCGGACGGGUGAGUAACACGUGGGAACGUGCCCUUUGGUUCGGAACAACUCAGGGAAACUUGAGCUAAUACCGGAUGUGCCCUUCGGGGGAAAGAUUUAUCGCCAUUGGAGCGGCCCGCGUCUGAUUAGCUAGUUGGGAAGGUAAAGGCUCACCAAGGCGACGAUCAGUAGCUGGUCUGAGAGGAUGAUCAGCCACAUUGGGACUGAGACACGGCCCAAACUCCUACGGGAGGCAGCAGUGGGGAAUCUUGCGCAAUGGGCGAAAGCCUGACGCAGCCAUGCCGCGUGAAUGAUGAAGGUCUUAGGAUUGUAAAAUUCUUUCACCGGGGAUGAUAAUGACGGUACCCGGAGAAGAAGCCCCGGCUAACUUCGUGCCAGCAGCCGCAGUAA